rnacentral:rRNA from 1 species
CGGCGGACGGGUGAGUAACACGUGGGUAACCUGCCUGUAAGACUGGGAUAACUCCGGGAAACCGGGGCUAAUACCGGAUGCUUGAUUGAACCGCAUGGUUCAAUUAUAAAAGGUGGCUUUCAGCUACCACUUGCAGAUGGACCCGCGGCGCAUUAGCUAGUUGGUGAGGUAACGGCUCACCAAGGCGACGAUGCGUAGCCGACCUGAGAGGGUGAUCGGCCACACUGGGACUGAGACACGGCCCAGACUCCUACGGGAGGCAGCAGUGGUCAU